ACCCGCCACUCUCGGAUUGCGAGACAUUUUUCGGACACCCUGUAUGUUCCACUGGGACGAACGGCGACGAGGUGGCAGGCCCGAGCUGCUGCUGGUGUCCUUUGUGCGGACGAUUGAAACUGUGUCGGCCGAUCGAGUACGAUGCAGUGAGAGAGUGUCGGGAAUGAUCAGGCACGCAGUAUCGUUUUCAACGGUAACGGGUCGUCGUCGAUGCGAUCGCCAAGGUCACAAGGUCACGGGUGCAUACUUUUACCUGCGCGUAAGCGCGAGGGACACGCGCGCGCGACCAGGAAACCACAGCACGGGUCGCGUGCGACCCCUUCGUUCCACGAUCCUGGAAUUUCCGGAAUUUUUCAUACCUCCCUUCUCGCAUUUACUAUGCGAAACACGUUCAGGCGACGGAACAAAGUGUCCGCACCACUUUUAAAACGCGAAUAACGUUUUUCAAGAUGGACUAAUUGACCUGUAGUUUCUUUUAGACGUUAGGGGCACUUAGUUUAGUGUACAGUGUCUAAUUGUUUUCUUUUUUUUUAAUUUUGAUAUUAGUUGGAACGGCGAUAAAAAUAAAAGCAGAAAGAGAAAGGCGGGUAAUGUUAUUAUAGAUCAAAAAUGAGUAAAGCUAAUACAUUAAAAUGAUUAAGGAAAUAAAUAAAUAGCUACUUAACUUCGAUAUUUUACGAUCAAUGUAGGCAAUGUUUAUUUUUUAUAAGAAUAUGCAGUCUAUUAAUAUCCCUUGGUCUUUCACGUAAGGAACUGAUAUUCAGUUCAUUGCGUAAAUUAUAAAUAAAUUGUAAAUACAUUGUGAAUAAUGUAGUUAAAUGUAUAAGGAUAAAUAAAUGAAAUACGAAUGAUACAUUUAAUAA